CUACGGGGGGCAGCAGUGGGGAAUAUUGGACAAUGGGGGAAACCCUGAUCCAGCAAUGCCGCGUGUGUGAAGAAGGCCUGCGGGUUGUAAAGCACUUUCGGUUGGGAGGACUGCUUCUAGCACUAAUAUUGUUGGAAGUUGACGUUACCUUCAGAAGAAGCACCGGCUAGCUCCGUGCCAGCAGCCGCGGUAAUACGGAGGGGUGCAAGCGUUAAUCGGAAUUACUGGGCGUAAAGCGCGCGUAGGCGGCUAGAUCAGUCGGGUGUGAAAGCCCCGGGCUUAACCUGGGAACUGCAUCCGAUACUGUCUAGCUUGAGUACAGGAGAGGAGAGUGGAAUUCCACAUGUAGCGGUGAAAUGCGUAGAUAUGUGGAGGAACACCAAUGGCGAAGGCAGCUCUCUGGCCUGAUACUGACGCUGAGGUGCGAAAGCGUGGGGAGCAAACAGGAUUAGAUACCCCAGUAGUC
rnacentral:rRNA from 1 species